rnacentral:tRNA from 1 species
AUUAGCUCAGGUGGCUAGAGCGCACCCCUGAUAAGGGUGAGGUCUCUGGUUCAAGUCCAGG